rnacentral:rRNA from 1 species
CAGCAGCCGCGGGAAUACGAGGGGGGCAAGCGUUGUUCGGAGUUAUUGGGCGUAAAGGGUGCGUAGGCGGUUUGGCAAGUCUUAUGUGAAAUCUUCGGGCUCAACCCGAAGCCUGCACGAGAAACUACCGGGCUUGAGUAUUGGAGAGGUGAGUGGAAUUUCCGGUGUAGCGGUGAAAUGCGUAGAUAUCGGAAGGAACACCUGUGGCGAAAGCGGCUCACUGGACAAUAACUGACGCUGAUGCACGAAAGCUAGGGGAGCAAACAGGAUUAGAUACCCCAGUAGUCCCUGUCUCUUAUAA